rnacentral:rRNA from 1 species
AGCAGCCGCGGUAAUUCCAGCUCCAAUAGCGUAUAUUAAAAGUUGUUGCAGUUAAAAAAGCUCGUAGUUGAAUUUCGGGGUCAGUAGGUCGGUCGUGCCACUGGUAUGAACUGGUCUCACUGAUUCCUCCCUCUUGUAGAACCGUGAUGCCAUUAAUUUGGUGUUGCGGGGAAACAGGACUGUUACUUUGAAAAAAUUAGAGUGUUUAAAGCAAGCUAACGCUUGAAUACAUUAGCAUGGAAUAAUGAAAUAGGACGUCUGUCUUAUUUUGUUGGUUUUCUAGGAUGGACGUAAUGAUUAAUAGGGAUAGUUGGGGGCAUUAGUAUUCAAUUGUCAGAGGUGAAAUUCUUGGAUUUAUUGAAGACUAACUACUGCGAAAAGCAUUUGCCAAGGAUGUUUUCAUUAAUCAAGAACGAAAGUUAGGGAUCGAAGACGAUCAGAUACCGUCGUAGUCUUAACCAUAAACUAUCGACCGACUAGGGACUCGGAUGAUUGUUAAUUUUUUAAUGUACUUCUAUUC